rnacentral:rRNA from 1 species
GACGAACGCUGGCCGCGUGCUUAACACAUGCAAGUCGAGCGGAAAGGCCCCUUUGGGGGUACUCGAGUGGCGAACGGGUGAGUAACACGUGAGUCAACUGCCCUUGACUUCGGGAUAACCUCAGGACAAUGGGGCUAAUACCGGUUCGGAAACCUUGCAGCAUGGGGGGGGUUGGAAAGCUUAGGCGGUUUUGGAUGGACCCGCGGCUUAUCAGCUUGUUGGUGGGGUAGUGGCUUACCAAGGCUUUGACGGGUAGCCGGCCUGAGAGGGCGACCGGCCACAUUGGGACUGCGAGACGGCCCAGACUCCGACGGGAGGCAGCAGUGGGGAAUAUUGCACAAUGGGCGGAAGCCUGAUGCAGCAACGCCGCGUGCGGGAGGACGGCCUUCGGGUUGUAAGCCGCUUUCAGCAGGGGCGAAGCUUGUGGUGACGGUACCUGCAGAAGAAGCACCGGCUAACUACGUG